GUUAAGCGACUAAGCGUACACGGUGGAUGCCCUGGCAGUCAGAGGCGAUGAAGGACGUGCUAAUCUGCGAUAAGCGUCGGUAAGGUGAUAUGAACCGUUAUAACCGGCGAUUUCCGAAUGGGGAAACCCAGUGUGUUUCGACACACUAUCAUUAACUGAAUCCAUAGGUUAAUGAGGCGAACCGGGGGAACUGAAACAUCUAAGUACCCCGAGGAAAAGAAAUCAACCGAGAUUCCCCCAGUAGCGGCGAGCGAACGGGGAGCAGCCCAGAGCCUGAAUCAGUGUGUGUGUUAGUGGAAGCGUCUGGAAAGGCGCGCGAUACAGGGUGACAGCCCCGUACACAAAAAUGCACAUGCUGUGAGCUCGAUGAGUAGGGCGGGACACGUGGUAUCCUGUCUGAAUAUGGGGGGACCAUCCUCCAAGGCUAAAUACUCCUGACUGACCGAUAGUGAACCAGUACCGUGAGGGAAAGGCGAAAAGAACCCCGGCGAGGGGAGUGAAAAAGAACCUGAAACCG
rnacentral:rRNA from 1 species